rfam:Schistosoma mattheei strain Denwood, Zambia genome assembly, scaffold: SMTD_scaffold0003898
AUCUAGAUGACGAAUCCCAAACGGGACGAGACGCGCGUCGUUGAU